UACGUAGGGUGCAAGCGUUAAUCGGAAUUACUGGGCGUAAAGCGUGCGCAGGCGGCUAUGCAAGACAGAUGUGAAAUCCCCGGGCUCAACCUGGGAACUGCAUUUGUGACUGCAUGGCUAGAGUACGGUAGAGGGGGAUGGAAUUCCGCGUGUAGCAGUGAAAUGCGUAGAUAUGCGGAGGAACACCGAUGGCGAAGGCAAUCCCCUGGACCUGUACUGACGCUCAUGCACGAAAGCGUGGGGAGCAAACAGG
rnacentral:rRNA from 2 species